CUUAUUCUUAGUUUGGGAACAGCUUUCUUUUUCAAAGGGACUUUUUUGUAUCUGCAGAGUCAUGCCAUUUCAACCAUCAUUGAAAAAUCAUAUUAACCAAAGUGAUCUUCAUAGACCACACUACUUGUACUUGACUUCCCUUCCUUUUUGUGAGAUUCAGUUCACCCUGCUCUCAUAUUUUCCAUUUCAGAAGAGAAGUGGUGGAAAGGAUUUGCUAUUACUCUGACAAUCCACACAGACGGGGAACACACAAUACAACAUCCUGACCGGAUUUUUGUUUUGUUUUCUGAACUUCCUUGUAGGAGAGCUGAGCCCAGCAAUCUCUGUCCUUCUCAAGUCUGCCAUUCCUGCAAGGCCUUCUCUGCAUUCACAAGAACCCUACUGCUACAAUCAAGCCUUGUCUGCAUUGUUAGUACUGUAUUAUACAAGCAAACCCUCCCAGCGAAGAUGCAGCUGCACACUUCCUUAGCAAAUGUAGCCGUUAUCAAUUCAAAUCCAAUCAAAUCAGUAGGUAAAAUAGACCCUAGAUGGGGUGGAGUUUUAAAGUUUUGGGGUGUCUUUUAAGCAGCCUGUUGUUUCUUGUUUUGGCGGUUGCUUGCCUUUUGUUGUGGGCUGCCCUGAGCUUGUCUGGAUGGGGCAGAAUAUAAAUCUAAAUACUAGUACUAAGUGGUCUGGGCCCUAUAUACCGAAGGGACUGUCUCCUUCCACGUUUGACCUUGAUCCCAAAGGUCAGUUGAGAGCAAUCUUCUGCAUGUUUCAUCUGUGCGCUAAAUUUGCCUGGUGAAAAGGCGUGGGAGGUUUUCAGUAGUAGCUUCCUGCUCAGGAACUCCCUUUGUUGCCUGCCAGAGCCUGAGCCUGGACAUCUUCAGGAAACACUGCAAAACAUUUUUACUUGGGCACGUAUUUAGCAAGCAAGGCUGAGUGGGAUACUUUGGAUGGAGUGUUUGUUGUAGACCUCAUAUAUUUUAUUUAAUGUUUUAUCUGCUUUUGUAAGUUAUUUUGUCUUUUAUUGUAAGGCACCCGGAGGCUUUUUGAGGCAGGGUGUCAUAUAAAUCUAAUGAAUAAAUAAAUAAAAUAAAUGAUCCUGGCCA
rnacentral:lncRNA from 1 species